UCGACUCGGUAUCGAUGGCGACAUCAGGAAACUGGUGUACGGAGGCAGACUGACUAAUGUCAGCACGGCGCAAGCCGCAAACAGGUCAGAGACCUGGGGAGCCUCGUAAGAACUCAACAUUUCGCCGCCCCGAUGCACAGAUACCAGUCG
rnacentral:sRNA from 12 species